rnacentral:rRNA from 1 species
AAGAUUAAGCCAUGCAUGUGUAAGUGCAAGCCGAACUAAGGCGAAACCGCGAAAGGCUCAUUACAUCAGUUGUGGUUCCUUGGACUGUACCCAGUUACUUGGAUAACUGCGGAAAAUCUGGAGCUAAUACAUGCCGACAGAGUCCCGACCAGAGAUGGGAGGGACGCUUUUAUUAGAUCAAAACCAAAAAUUGGCGGUGUCCUCGGCUUCGGUCGUGGCCCGUCAAAACGGUACAAGAUGACUCUGAAUAACUUGUUGCUGAUCGCACGGCCUCUGCGCCGGCGACGCGUCUUUCAAAUGUCUGCCUUAUCAACUUUCGAUGGUAGGCUCUGCGCCUACCAUGGUUGUAACGGGUGACGGGGAAUCAGGGUUCGAUUCCGGAGAGGGAGCCUGAGAAACGGCUACCACAUCCAAGGAAGGCAGCAGGCGCGCAAAUUACCCACUCCCGGCUCGGGGAGGUAGUGACGAAAGAUAACGAUGCAGGACUCUUUUGAGGCCCUGUAAUCGGAAUGACUACAUUUUAAAUCUCUUAAGGAGUAUCAAUUGGAGGGCAAGUCUGGUGCCAGCAGCCGCGGUAAUUCCAGCUCCAAUAGCGUAUAUUAAAGCUGUUGCGGUUAAAAAGCUCGUAGUUGGAUCUGUGCCCCGCACCGCCGGUCCCCAUUUCUGUGGUGCGACUGGCAGGUCUGUGGGGCGUCCUGCCGGUGGGGGGUCUUUGCCGGGUAGCGGCCUGUCCGUCAGCUGGUCGUGUGCGAACGGUUUCACCGUGGGUUCGUCCCUGGUGGCCUUCCUCCUUCCUCGACUGCGGCAGCCCUAUCGCUUGCGCGCCCCCGGUUUUGCUUCAAACCCAAAAUCCUGCCGAAGGUGCUCUUUACCGGGUGUCGAGGCGGGCCGGCAUGUUUACUUUGAACAAAUUAGAGUGCUUAAAGCAGGCUGGUGACGCCUGAAUGCUGUGUGCAUGGAAUAAUGGAAUAGGACCUCGGUUCUAUUUUCUUUUGGUUUUCUGAACCAGAGGUAAUGAUUAACGGAGACAGGCGGGGGCAUUCGUAUUGCGACGUUAGAGGUGAAAUUCUUGGAUCGUCGCAAGACGAACAGAAGCGAAAGCAUUUGCCAAGGAUGUUCUCGUUGAUCAAGAACGAAAGUCAGAGGUUCGAAGGCGAUCAGAUACCGCCCUAAUUCUGACCGUAAACGCUGCCAUCUGGUUAUUCGCCCACGUUACAUUAGCUAUGACUGGGCGAGCAACCCUCGGGAAACCAAAGAUUUUGGGUUCCGGGGGAAGUAUGGUUGCAAAGCUGAAACUUAAAGGAAUUGACGGAAGGGCACCACCAGGAGUGGAGCCUGCGGCUUAAUUUGACUCAACACGGGAAACCUCACCAGGCCCGGACACUGGAAGGAUUGACAGAUUGAUAGCUCUUUCUUGAUUCAGUGGGUGGUGGUGCAUGGCCGUUCUUAGUUGGUGGAGCGAUUUGUCUGGUUAAUUCCGAUAACGAACGAGACUCUAGCCUGCUAACUAGUCGCCCGGCGUCCUCUUUAGGCCGCCGGCGCAAAUUUAUCUUCUUAGAGGGACAGGCGGCUUCUAGCCGCACGAGAUUGAGCAAUAACAGGUCUGUGAUGCCCUUAGAUGUUCUGGGCCGCACGCGCGCUACAAUGAAGGUAUCAGCGUGUCCUCCCAGGGCGAGAGUCCCGGGUAACCCGCUGAACCACCUUCGUGCUUGGGAUUGGGGCUUGAAAUUGUUCCCCAUGAACGAGGAAUUCCCAGUAAAGGCGUGUCAUUAGCACGCCUUGAUUACGUCCCUGCCCUUUGUACACACCGCCCGUCGCUACUACCGAUUGAAUGAUUUAGUGAGGUCUUCGGACUGACGCGCGGAGGUGCCUCGGUACCGCCGAUGCCGCUGGAAAGAUGACCAAACUUGAUCAUUUAGAGGAAGUAAAAGUCGUAACAAGGUUUCCGUAGGUGAACCUGC